GUAUGAUUGUUGACUCAAAUGAAAUUAACGAUGAACCAUUGACCGAGAUCCUUCGAAAUGAAAUGUUGAUUGGCGAAGUCCAAAAGCGAGAAGCCUUAUGGAAUUUUAAAAUCCCUGUUGCCGAAAUGGGCAGGAGUAUUGUUCAGAAAUUGUGAGAGGAGGUAGUGUCUGCUAUGAAUGGUAACAUCAGAAAUGUUAAUGAGGCCAAGAAUAUAUGGAAAAAACUCCGUUACAAUUAGGCGAAUUUUAAUACCGGAGAGCAAUAGCAAGAAAAGCGGCUCGGCUGGUAGUGGAAUGAAAAAAAUAAAUGGUCAUACUAUGAAAUGAUGGCCUUCACUAAAGAUCUCUUCAUCGACAAUAGAAAAAGAAGUUCCAAUAUAUCAGUAUUAAACCUGUACAAUGAUGAUAUAAUGAUGUCGGUUGCAUCGACCAGUUCAUCUUCAUAAGUACCAGAAACAGAGGCAAAAAAGAAACUCACUCAUCCGAGUCAAACGAAGCAAUAUUAAUGAAACUCAUUUCUUUCUUGGAUGCACCUGUACCUCUAUAGCCUGAACUCGUCUUACCACCAUUACUUGCUAUGCCACUGCAGAACGACGAAAUAGAAAACUUAAUAGGACUAGUUCGGGCAGCGUUAAAUAGAAUACUUCUUUCGAAGAGACAUGAGUUUAUUGUAAAAUUACUUACAUUUUUAUAUUCA